AGAAUAUCGUACAUCUACCGUGCAGAGAACCCAGCGUUCUGAGGUAUUUUGGGCCCAUGCAGGAUAGAAGUGGGUUAGACUGUUCAGAAAACAGGGAGAAGACGCCAAACACGAACUAACUAUAACUAAUACUAAACUAUUUAACGAUUUACAGGUUUGGAUACAAGAGAAAUCACUAGGGGACUGCUUGCCAAAGGAAGAGAGACACUCGGCUCCAACGACUGUCAUUGGUGGUAAAGUCUGAUAGGGUCUUUGUCCCACUGGCUCAUCUCCUUGAAUAGCUGUUAAGUCAUGCAUACUGAAACUUCUCAACCGUUCAGUUAUUGCACCUUGACCCUGGAACACAAUAAUAGCACUUUUCAAGAACAAAUGGAGAAGCCUUAAGAUUUGCUCUUCAAAUUGAGAUGUAGUUACCUCAACUUGAUUGAAGGAAGACAGCAGAAAGAAGCCAGAAAUCCUAUAAAUAGUGUGAUUACCAGCAAGAAAAUGCAACAAAGACAGAAAAAAAGAUUGUUGAUCUUUCACUAAUAGCUUGAACAUAACAUUGUAGUCUAUAUUUUGAUUUACCACUCAACUGAUAUCCAUUAUCCAAAAAUUUACAUUCUAUUUAUUUUUAAACUAACAAACUGUGUAAAAAUGCUCACAAAAUUGCAAUCCUUAAAUUACAUCCCCCUAUUUUUAAACAUGUUACUUUUAGAAUGAAUUCUUUGAGUUAAGAUGGGUAAAUACCCAAUACCACUUUACUUUUUUAUCCAUAAUAUUUACCCUGAACAGUUUAGCAUAAGUGAAAUUUACCUUUGCAGCAGCAGUUACUGCAGCAGUAGCUGCCAAAUUUAAACCCUGUCUCCCAAAAUUCACCAUAGUUUCAUAACCUCGUUCUUUGGCUUGUACAAUAUACUCAUCGAUCUCCUAAAAAACAAAACAGAAUACAUAUUUAAAUCUGCACACAAAAUCCCUGAAAGUCAUGAAGUUGUAUUACCUCAUAGCAUUAUUUUAUCAUCAAAAUGUUGAUGGAAGACUUGAAGAAAGAAGAGGAUGGAGAAACUUCCUAUACAUUAAACUUGCCCCUCUAGUAUAUGGAGAGAGCAGCCAAAUAACAAAAGCGAUCUUCAACUCAUAAUACAAUGGAAA